GCUUUUUGGGUUUCCUUUGCUAUCAAUCUUUGGAAAACCAUAUUGAUGUGCAACUUGCAGUUUCCUCCAGUGUAAACUGUAUAUUUCACCUCUUGGAUCAGCCAAUCCACUUUGAUUACAUGUUUCCUAAGGACUUCAUCUUCUACUUUGAUUUGGCUUAUACAAACUAUAGCAAUGAAUCUGUGGAGAAAAAUGCUCAUUUAGUUAUGAUUCAUUAUUUACAUGAAUUGAAAAAGGUCCCAAUUGAGACUGUAGCAGAGCAAGUGGAACACUUUGUA